AGAGUUUUAAGUUAAAUUUAAACUAUGAGCCUUCAAAGCUCACUAUGGAGUAGCUCCAAACUCUA
rnacentral:tRNA from 1 species